GCAGUGGGGAAUAUUGGACAAUGGGCGAAAGCCUGAUCCAGCCAUGCCGCGUGUGUGAAGAAGGUCUUCGGAUUGUAAAGCACUUUAAGUUGGGAGGAAGGGCAGUAAGCGAAUACCUUGCUGUUUUGACGUUACCGACAGAAUAAGCACCGGCUAACUCUGUGCCAGCAGCCGCGGUAAUACAGAGGGUGCAAGCGUUAAUCGGAAUUACUGGGCGUAAAGCGCGCGUAGGUGGUUUGUUAAGUUGAAUGUGAAAUCCCCGGGCUCAACCUGGGAACUGCAUCCAAAACUGGCAAGCUAGAGUAGGGCAGAGGGUGGUGGAAUUUCCUGUGUAGCGGUGAAAUGCGUAGAUAUAGGAAGGAACACCAGUGGCGAAGGCGACCACCUGGGCUCAUACUGACACUGAGGUGCGAAAGCGUGGGGAGCAAACAGGAUUAGA
rnacentral:rRNA from 1 species